rnacentral:rRNA from 1 species
UACGGGGGGGGCAAGCGUUGUUCGGAAUUACUGGGCGUAAAGGGCUCGUAGGUGGCUAACUAAGUCAGACGUGAAAUCCCUCAGCUUAACUGGGGAACUGCGUCUGAUACUGGAUGGCUUGAGUUUGGGAGAGGGAUGCGGAAUUCCAGGUGUAGCGGUGAAAUGCGUAGAUAUCUGGAGGAACACCGGUGGCGAAGGCGGCAUCCUGGACCAAUUCUGACGCUGAGGAGCGAAAGCCAGGGGAGCAAACGGG